UUUUAGGUCAAUUAGGGCUUUAUUGGGUCUAUUAAGCCCACUAGAAUAUCAUUAAGCCCAUUAGGGUUUUAUUUGGUUCAUUUAGGGUCCAUUAGGGCUUACAAGGCCCAUUAGGGUUUCAAGCACCCCAAACGAAUCAAACUCACAAAGCAAGCACACCGCCACCCAACACGGCGGCAGGUGGCGGCAGCCACCACCUCACAAUGGUGGUUAGGGUUUCUUUCUCAUUAUUCCCUUUUCUUUUGUUACAAUUUACAAUGGAAAUACCGGCGGCACCCACCACCCUAUGGUGGUGGUGAUACCGUUUCCAAGAACUUCAACCAUACACACACAAUAAGGGAAACACACACAUGUUCACUUCUUUGCUCGGGAAGGAAGCCAACCACCCAAUUGGCGGCAUAAGGUGGCGGCAGUGGUGAUUUUACGAUGACAGCCACCACCUCUUGGUGGUGGCGGUGGUUCCUUUUGUUUCUCAGUCAAGCAACAACACCCCACAUCAACCUUGCUCGGACUUCCGGAUGCAACCAACACCAGUGGUGCACGGUGACAGCAAUAGCAAUUCAAGUAGCCACAAGGGUGGCUACUAGCGGCGGCUAACGGGAGGAGAUGAGGUGGCGUAGCAGCAACGAACCGGAAAAAAGCAGACUUCGCGACGACAACAAACACGCUCCACCUCCUCCGGCGGUGGCAGGAGCAAUAUAACAACAACAGUUGGCAUCUCCCGGCGGUCUUCAACGUUUCCGGUGACGAGGACCAUCUUGGUCGUGCUAAGAGAUCGGAAAGAAAACGAACAAGGUGAGUGGUGGCGGCGUCGGAGACGAAGGGGAGGCGUAAGGGUGGUAGCGGCACCGGAAGUGGAAGGGAAGUUUGCGGCUGCUCUUGUGCUAGGGUUAGGCUUUCUAAUACACUUAACAUAUAUAUGGAGGUUGCAUGAGACGUACAUGUGUUCCAUCAAACUUCUGUCCAUUUUAACAAUAUCGGCCCCUCUCCACCAGAUCUUUUUCGAUUUAAACCCAAAUGUUACCUUUUAGCCCAUGCUUCCAUAAAAUCUUCUCAACUUAAGUCCCAUUAAUUACCCUAUAGUCCUUGCCUUCAUAAUUAUUUACAAAACCAAUCCAAAACAUACGCUUUUAACCCUUGACUUCUAAAAUUAUGGCAAUUAACUCCCCGAACCCAACACCCUACAUAUAUAAUUAUUUAUUUUAGGCUACUAUUCGCCCAUUAAUUUAUUUAUUUAACUAAUAAAUAAAUGAGUGUUACAACUCUCCCACACUUAAAUUAGAUUUCCUCCUCGAAAUCACUACUUACUAUUUCUUACAUGCCAAACCAAUUCUAGUAGCAUCAUCACCGUCUUGGGCACACCCUAGCGUUCCCAGGGUAGCUAUGACCAAUCUUCGCAAAGCCCUAAUAUCCUCAUAUGAACGAAUUCUUCGCAACAGGAUCACAUCUACUUCACCUGUGUCUACUAUCCCGAGGUGGUCUGAUUCCCUGACAAACCACUCAUAUUGAUUCAUCAGCGACAAAUCCAGUCCGUUUAUCCCUCGAUCGACUACUCAACUAUUAAUAGCUCGGAGCUCCCAUUAUAAAACAGGUUCAUAGACCUAAUUAUCCCUGCAAAUCACUUAUUCUUGGUCGAGGCUCAACUAAUCCCGCUGGGAGUGACUUGUCACAUCCCAAUCAACCAGCUUUUCCGUCCGAAGUUUCAACCUAUACACAAAUACUAAUAGUGACAAUUGUUGAAACUGUGCGAACAUUGAACUGCCUGAAGCAGUAGGUUACCACCUGGCUGCUUUCCAAAAUCUACCAAGACCUACCUGAACUCAAAUUGUUCGACAAUCAUCUGAAGUACCGGGUUCCGGCCUGGCUGCGGAGUCAAAGGACUCCCACUUAGUCGCCUCGCACGACUUCUGAACGAAAUCUUUCUCUGAAACUAGUUGCCACUAGUUACCCUGCUACUGCGACUCCAACAACUUUCUGAUCUAACUGGUCGGAUUCAUGCAUCGAAUCCUGUCAUCAUCAAAUAAAAGUGAUUGCUACCUAACCAAUGGUAACCUUAUAUCGCAAGAAACCUUAAGCAAUCUCUUGCUUCCUUCAUCUCAAAACUGUAGUGGCAUUCCUACAGUCUUAUCACUGGCUCAACCAGAUCUAAUCCAUUGGGUAAUUCCAAAAUCUAAUCCGUGGAUUUCUAUAUCCCCACUGGUACACCUAAACUGUUGGGUGCUACUAUUCCUUCUGCGUUCCAACAACACGCUCAUGCCAUCUACCAACCUAGUGAAUGCUACGGCUAUCCGCAGUCUGACGACACUCUAUCACUAUCUGACCGCUAGUGAAUGCUAUGGCUACCCUCGUAGUCUUACAACACUUCCCAUGCUAACUGACCACUAGUGAAUUCUACGGCUACCCCCGUAGUCUUACAACACUUUCCAUACCAUCUGACUACUAGUGAAUGUUACGGCUACCCUCGUAAUCUUACAACACUUCCCAUACCAUCUGACUACUAGUGAAUGCUAUGGCUACCCCCGUAGCCUAACAACACUUUCCAAACCAGGUCGAACACGCACUCGACAUAACACACCACUGAUCUAGAGUCCUAACCGAAACUCUAACCUGGUUCUCGAAACCUGCUAUCACAUGACCCCACUAUAUCAGUACCGUACCCAUGCCCGUGAUCAAAGCGUCACAAUAAACCACGAAAUCAUCUACACCCUCUGGCAGGGUGAGAAUCAGUAUCUCGCACAACAACUGUCUGAGAGUCUCGAAGGUUGCUUGCUGCUCAGGCACCGGGCGAAAGGCCACCGACUUCUUGGUCAGUCGGGUCAAAGGAACCGCAAUCUCGGAGAAAUCCCGCAUAAAUCUCCGGUAAUAACCUGUUAAACCUAGGAAACUCCAAAUCUCAGAUGAAGACCUCGGAAUCUCCGAUUGCAUCACCCGGCCUCUAUCUUGGCUGGAUAGACUAGUAUAGCCUUAUGGUUGACAUGGUGCCCAAGAGAUUGCACCCUGCGCAACCAUAAAUCACAUUCAGAGAACUUUAUAAAAAGUAUCCCCCCCACUUAGAUCCAACUAAGUCUUCACGACACGUAAUAAUUGAAGGAUUCCAAAUCCUUCUCGCUUUGUAGUAUUCAACUGAUGACAACCUGUGCUUACCAAUUCUAGUGAUUAAUCACCGGUUAAACCUUAAGAUCGCCCAUACUCGGAAAUCUUGAUGAGUACUCUUGAAAUCUGGUCCAAUCUGACACCUCAAUCCACCUCCCGUGCUGACACUAGAGGCCUUAAUCUUCACUCUGGCUAACGAGUCCUCGUUCCCACUUCCAAUCUCACAGUACUACUGAACACUAACUUCACUAGAAAACUGUCACCCCAAUCUUGACCAAGUAUCCUCUAAAUAAUACUCCUGCAUAGAUCUUGACAAAGAUUCGAAAUGACAACGGUACACGCGGAACCCACUCCGCAAGGUACGUCCCUCGGUGGGUACAUCAAGGGCCAUUCGGCAUGUUGGAUGACAUAUAUAAUCCUUGAAAACCCAAACACUAGCAGAAAACCGACCCGAGAUCCGACUUAUCCAAACUCGCUCACAAUUCCAAAGUGAUACGUAUUCCCAACAUCCAUCUAGUAAAAGUAAAAGAUGACAUACUCGCAACAUCUGGAGGAAUCCUAAUCACCUCCGGCUGACAUGAUCAACCCUGCCACACCUGUAGCAGUCUAAACCCUUGAAGUGACAAACUCCCUCGUGUACUUCCUUGCACGCGUUUCACUGACUCCGGCCCUGCUGGCCUUUCACUCGAUGAUCGGAGGGCAUGGAUCUCUCCCCGGGACCUUCUACCAUACACACCUGGCACAACCCUCUCUUUCCAAGGUGCUCCAAAUCGACCUCGCAUCUACAACUUCUUGGAAAUCAUAUCCUUCAGGGUCUAACACCCUGUCACGCUCGCUAGCUCACUUGCCAAUGGCCAAGUUGCAACACUCGGACAUCUUCUGUCCCCAAACCGGGUCACUAACUCUUCCCCAAAGCUUCUCAGAUUCUCCAAGACUCUCACUGAUUCGAGUAUGCAUCAUGUGCUUUCAGUAGUAUAGGCCCAAUACUACCUUCCACACCUAUCCAUACUUUCCUCAACAAUCCUCCCGAAUCCUCUAAGUCACUUCCUCAAACUAGUACUCUGAAUUCUCGCUAACAGCGCAACCGAACCCACUAAAGCACUUUCUAGGCUUUCCUAGGUUCCCGUACUCACCUAGUCCUCAGCUGCUGAAGGACUUCCCACUAAUGUCAACUAGCUACCUCAUGAAUAUAGCCACUCGCGAUUUAGCAUAUUCACUUAGUAGCUAGCUCACAUUACCAAGAGUCCCUCGAAGCACAAAGCAAGCAACAUUCAGACAAUGGGAAAUCUAACCAACAUAUUCCAAUCAAAUCAGUUUAUCCUCCUAUUAGGAAUCUAUACUAGCAUGUAGCUCCAAAGGAUCAUACAAUCAGGCAUAACCUAAACAGGCUAUCCUAUCACUAACUGAUCAGUACUAUCAUGUAAUUCAACAAGCACAUAUAGCAGGCACGUAUUAGCCCUAGUCUAGCAUUCAGUUCACAUAAUCAUAUCAUAUCAUAACACAACAUGUGUGGGUAUCUUGGGGAAAACUUACUUGAGCUCGGCUGAUUGCACGCAUCACACACCUUGUUCUUUUCAAAGUUCUUUUAUCCUUCCAAAUUCUUUUCAAACUCUUUUUAUAAAAAUGAUUUUUCUUUUGACAAUUUUCAUACCAAGUCCUUAGUUUGAGUUCAGACACACCCGAGAGUGUGCCCGAAUCCCUCAAACCAAGACUCUAAUACCAACUUGUAACAUCCCAAAAUUCAAGGCCAAAAAUUUCAUUUUUAAUUAAAUUAUUACAUAAAAAAAAGCGUGAAUAAUCAAAAUAUAACAUUAUGAAACCAUAUCAGAGUAUAAUCCCAAGGAUCUCGUGUGCGAAAAACAUAGUGUGAUGCGCUGCGUCCAAGCCGACUCCUUUCCUUUGAAAGAAAGUACCUGAAACCAAAACUGUAAACCGUAAGCACGAAGCUUAGUGAGUUCCCCCAUCAUACCACAUACCACAUAAUACCAUCGGUAUCUUUCAACCGGUAGCUGGGGACUAUUUCACCCCUACCACUAUCACAUAAUAAUGUAUCUUGAUCAUACUGAUCGCAUACUAACAUUAUAAACAUACUGAUCACAUACUAACAUCAUAACAUAUUGAUAACAUACAAACAUCAUAACAUAUUGAUCACAUACUAACAUCAUAACAUACUGAUAACAUACUAACGUCAUGACAUACUGAUCACAUACUAACAUCAUAUCAUACUGAUCAUAUACUAACAUUAUAUCAUAAAUAGACAGAUAAACAUUGCAUGGGUUCUGUAUACCCCUUUGAUAUCUUCUAACCGGUAACUGCCAUUGGUAUCUUUCAACCAAUAUCCGCCAUCAGUAUCUUUCAACCGGUAACUGCCAUCGGUAUCUUUCAACCGGUAUCCGUCAUUGAUAUCUUUCAACCAGUUACCCGGGACUAUUUCACCCCUACGACUAUCAUAUAAUAACAGGAUAUAACCAUACAGUCAAGCAUAUUUGGGGUACUGACCUACCCUCUAGUCCUAUCGACCGAGUCAGGGAAAACUAUUCCCUGUUACCAACAUGAACACACAUAGCAUAUCACAUAAGCAUAUCUCACAAGCAUAUCACAUAAGCAUACCAAGAUAAUUAUCACAAAGACAAUUAUCUACCAACUACCCCUGUUGGUGGGCCGGCAUUGUGGCCUUAGACCCACCCCUAUUGGAAGGUAACUCACCUCGCACUGCUGAAGUCCCGAAGACUCAAUCCCUCGCUACUGAAGUCCCGCAGACUCAACCCCAGCUGCUGGAUGACAGAUUCCCUAACUAUCAAUACCAAAAUAACACCCAAUUAAUAAUUGGGUUCCAUUGCAUAACCAUGAGUACAUACUUUGGAUAAUUACUACACUACCCCAAGCUUGGCUUUAUACAAGCCCAAGGACCAAUCCAUAGGCCCAAAGUCAAUUAGGAAUCCAAGCCCAACACAUGGCCCAAUUUUCCAAAUUGGGCCCAGGCCUAUACAUGGUCAUAUUUAAAGUCCCAACCAAAAAGUCCAGUUCGACAUUUGGUAUUCUAAUGGGCCAAUACCUCAUUAUCAUGAAGGUCCAAACUAUGGCCUCAUUUUCCAAAUUUGGCAUAACUCCUAAUAUGGGCCUUACCACAAAGCCCAUUAAUUAUUCUAGUCCAUUUGCUUUAUCUUGGAUGGCCCAUUAGUAACCCAAUCAUCAAGGCCCAAUAUAAAGGCCCAACAAUAAACCCAUGAGAAAUUAGGGUUUCACAUAAAAUAACGAUUAGGGUUAAGUUUCCUACUUAACCCAUUAACGACUUAAUCCUCUAAGGACUUAAUCUAUUAAUUCCAAUAUCGCUAAGAUUAAUCUUCGCCAAUGAUUAUUAUUUAAUAUCUCGAGUUAUUAAAUAAUUCCCGCAUGUACCGGUUAAUUCCCCGAAUUAGGGUUUUCCAAUCCAAAUAUUAGCCCAUUUAUCAAUUUGUUGGGCUUUUUGGUCAAUCAGUGCUUUAUUGGGUCUAUUAAGCCCACUAGAAUAUCAUUAACCCCAUUAGGGUUUUAUUUGGGUCAUUUAUGGUCCAUUAGGGCUUACAAGGCCCAUUAGGGUUUCAAGCACCCCAAACGAAUCAAACUCACAAAGCAAGCACACCGCUNCGCCCGGGGGCGCCAGCCACCACCUCACGGUUGUGAUUAGGGUUUCUUUCUCAUUAUUCCCUUUUCUUUUGUUACAAUUUACAAUGGAAAUACCAAAAGCAACACACACACAUACUAACUAACACACAUACAGCCACCUAAUGGUGGCCGGCGGCGGCACAUGGCGGCAGCCACCACCCUAUGGUGGUGGUGAUGCCGUUUUCGAGAACUUCAGCCAUACACACACACCAAGGGAAACACGCAUAUCUUUACUUCUUUGCUCGGGAAGGAAAGCCAACCACCCAAUUGGCAGCAUAAGGUGGCGGCAGUGGUGAUUUUACGAUGACAGCCACCACCUCUUGGUGGUAGCGGUGGUUCCUUUUGUUUCCCAAUCAAGCAACAACACCCCACAUCAACCUUGCUUGGACUUCCGGAUGCAACCACCACCGGUGGUGCACGGUGACGGCAACAACAGUUCAAGUAGCCACAGCGGUGGCUAACGGGAGGAAAUAAGGUGGCGUAGCAGCAACGAACCGG
rnacentral:lncRNA from 1 species